GCACCCGUAGCUCAGUUGGAUAGAGCGCUGCCCUCCGAAGGCAGAGGUCUCAGGUUCGAAUCCUGUCGGGUGCGCCA
rnacentral:tRNA from 1 species